GACGCAUGCUCCAUGUGAACAUGCUCAAACCCUACCACGAGCGAACUGAGGACGUGGCAGCUAUUUGCACGCCCGCCUCAGAAGAUCAGGAGAACUUGCCUCUUCCAGAUCUGUUAGAGCAGGAGGAGCAGAAGGAGCCCUCCCAGGGGGUUCAGCUGGGGGAGCGGCUAAGUCCUCAAGAGCGUACCCAGGUACAAGAACUGAUAGCGACAAAGGGUGCCACCUUUUCUAACUUACCUGGGUACACUCC